GACAGAGGGUGCAAACGUUGUUCGGAAUUAUUGGGCGUAAAGAGCUCGUAGGCGGUCUGUCGCGUCGAAUGUGAAAACCCGGGGCUCAACCCCGGGCCUGCAUUCGAUACGGGCAGACUAGAGUUCGGUAGGGGAGUCUGGAAUUCCUGGUGUAGCGGUGAAAUGCGCAGAUAUCAGGAGGAACACCGGUGGCGAAGGCGGGACUCUGGGCCGAUACUGACGCUGAGGAGCGAAAGCGUGGGGAGCAAACAGG
rnacentral:rRNA from 1 species